rnacentral:tRNA from 1 species
AAGGGUUCUUGUAGUUGAUACACC